rnacentral:rRNA from 1 species
GACGUAGGGCGCGAGCGUGUCCGGAAUUAUUGGGCGUAAAGAGCUCGUAGGCGGUUUGUCACGUCGGCUGUGAAAACCCGAGGCUCAACCUCGGGCCUGCAGUCGAUACGGGCAGACUAGAGUGCGUGUAGGGGAGACUGGAAUUCCUGGUGUAGCGGUGAAAUGCGCAGAUAUCAGGAGGAACACCGAUGGCGGAAGGCAGAUCUCUGGGCCGUAACUGACGCUGGAG